ACUCUUAGGUUUAUUUCUGCUUUUUGAGUCUUGGUACUCAAAGGAUGUGGGAGAUUCCAUGAGAAUGAGUCCUUUGCAACGGAGAGGGAACAAAGCCUGCCUGCUCCUUUGGAAGAUAAUCAGCUGAGAGGUCUUGGAGGGAAAAGAGAAGUUAGAUGAAUAGAAGAUGAAUCACUGCCCCAGGUGAAGCAGAGAUGCCAUCUUUGGUUCCUUCCUCCUCAGUUCUUUGCCAACUUCAAUGACACUUUGAGUUGGGGAGAUUACCAGUGGAAGCCAAACCAAAGUGUUCAGGCAGAUUUCUUCCUGAAUAAGUUUCAUUGACUUGUCACUCUUUGGUGGCAGGGAUGUCUGGAUAACAACAUAGCACUGGGCUGAACAGGAAAAUCAUAAAGCUUUAACUUCGUGGGUCCUCUUCCUGCUCUUGCACUUCUGACCUUUCUCGGUCCUCUCAAACAUACUGACACGAUUCGCCGUGGGAAAGACAGGCUCUUUCCUCCCCAAGAGAACAGAGCUCUUGGACUCUUCCCUUCCUUGUGGAAUUGUGCUGGAGUGACAGGGGAGACGUCCUCUAGGGUGCUGCCCUGUGGACAUGCCUGCAAAGCCCAGCGCAGGUAAGUAACAGAGGCUCAGUACAUCCUGGUGCACUGCCAUUUACCAUCGGACCAGCCCAGCGCAAACAAGACAGGCGUCUUGUUAUGGAAAGUCGCCUCCACUCUCCACGCCUCCGCUUUCUCUUUGAUGCAUGUGCACCAGCGCCCAGCCUGCUGGCGGUGCUGCCCGUGGGGGCCUGUCAGAGCGACCCGAGAGUGCUCUCCCGGGGCUUGGCGUGGGACGGAGGACUGUGCUCUCCCCUUCAUUUCCUCCCAGCUCCCUCUCUCCCUUGUCUCUCAUCAUCAGAGGAUGAAACUCACGUCACUACUAGCUCUUGUUCCCUGGGGAGCGAUGCCCAAGCUGGUGACUAGGAAGGAGGACCCUUGACUGCCCGCCCCCUGCACCUGCAGCAGGUGAUGCAGCAGGGAGACAUCUGCCCUUGGGGACCUCGUGUAUGUGCUCUGCUCUUCGCAUC